UUUGCACCCUCCCCCUUACCCCAAAACCCUGAGGCAUAAUAACACCCUAGUUACUGGAUAACCUGGCACAAUGGGAAGAGGAAAUAUAAAUCUAUCCUAACUAGACCAUUGUGAUCUUACAGUAGUAUCCCUCUGAAGUGACCAUUUCGGCUUUGCCUUUCCCCCUAAGGGAAAGGUUACAUAAGUAGACUGUAGUACAGGUUACAACAGUGCUGCAUGUUCGUCCCUGUAGUGCACAGGGUGGGAAAUGAACACCAGCCAUCAGCAAAAUGCUGGUAGAUUUGAGCAUUGGCUGGUAGAAUAUCUAUUCUUACACAGUGACAGGUAGAAUAUCUAUUCUUACACAGUGACAGGUAGAAUAUCUAUUCUUACACAGUGACAGGUAGAAUAUCUAUUCUUACACAGUGACAGGUAGAAUAUCUAUUCUUACACAGUGACAGGUAGAAUAUCUAUUCUUACACAGUGACAGGUAGAAUAUCUAUUCUUACACAGUGACAGGUAGAAUAUCUAUUCUUACACAGUGACAGGUAGAAUAUCUAUUCUUACACAGUGACAGGUAGAAUAUCUAUUCUUACACAGUGACAGGUAGAAUAUCUAUUCUUACACAGUGACAGGUAGAAUAUCUAUUCUUACACAGUGACAGGUAGAAUAUCUAUUCUUACACAGUGACAGGUAGAAUAUCUAUUCUUACACAGUGACAGGUAGAAUAUCUAUUCUUACACAGUGACAGGUAGAAUAUCUAUUCUUACACAGUGACAGGUAGAAUAUCUAUUCUUACACAGUGACAGGUAGAAUAUCUAUUCUUACACAGUGACAGGUAGAAUAUCUAUUCUUACACAGUGACAGGUAGAAUAUCUAUUCUUACACAGUGACAGGUAGAAUAUCUAUUCUUACACAGUGACAGGUAGAAUAUCUAUUCUUACACAGUGACAGGUAGAAUAUCUAUUCUUACACAGUGACAGGUAGAAUAUCUAUUCUUACACAGUGACAGGUAGAAUAUCUAUUCUUACACAGUGACAGGUAGAAUAUCUAUUCUUACACAGUGACAGGUAGAAUAUCUAUUCUUACACAGUGACAGGUAGAAUAUCUAUUCUUACACAGUGACAGGUAGAAUAUCUAUUCUUACACAGUGACAGGUAGAAUAUCUAUUCUUACACAGUGACAGGUAGAAUAUCUAUUCUUACACAGUGACAGGUAGAAUAUCUAUUCUUACACAGUGACAGGUAGAAUAUCUAUUCUUACACAGUGACAGGUAGAAUAUCUAUUCUUACACAGUGACAGGUAGAAUAUCUAUUCUUACACAGUGACAGGUAGAAUAUCUAUUCUUACACAGUGACAGGUAGAAUAUCUAUUCUUACACAGUGACAGGUAGAAUAUCUAUUCUUACACAGUGACAGGUAGAAUAUCUAUUCUUACACAGUGACAGGUAGAAUAUCUAUUCUUACACAGUGACAGGUAGAAUAUCUAUUCUUACACAGUGACAGGUAGAAUAUCUAUUCUUACACAGUGACAGGUAGAAUAUCUAUUCUUACACAGUGACAGGUAGAAUAUCUAUUCUUACACAGUGACAGGUAGAAUAUCUAUUCUUACACAGUGACAGGUAGAAUAUCUAUUCUUACACAGUGACAGGUAGAAUAUCUAUUCUUACACAGUGACAGGUAGAAUAUCUAUUCUUACACAGUGACAGGUAGAAUAUCUAUUCUUACACAGUGACAGGUAGAAUAUCUAUUCUUACACAGUGACAGGUGGAAUAUCUAUUCUUACACAGUGACAGGUAGAAUAUCUAUUCUUACACAGUGACAGGUAGAAUAUCUAUUCUUACACAGUGACAGGUAGAAUAUCUAUUCUUACACAGUGACAGGUAGAAUAUCUAUUCUUACACAGUGAUUCAG